rnacentral:lncRNA from 1 species
CUUUGGGAGUCAAGAAUGGGAAAACCAUAGUAAAAUUUAAGUAAUAGAAAAUAGAAGCAAGACAUCAAUAAAAUUUUUUAAUGAAUCCCUCUAUCUCUACUUAAUUUAUCUCCUUUUCUUUUCUCAUCAUAGAAGUCUUCUGAUUAUAGGGAAGGAAGGAACCUUACAGAUGAUACAACAAUAAGAAGAACCAUACCUGGCGUGAAAGCACCGACUUUGGAGCUGGAGGAUUUUCUCCUUUGGGACUUUGUCUUCAGUCUGAAUCUUCAGUGUGAAGAACCUAGGGCUGAAAACUUAAACUGCUUCUGGCACUCAAAGUUAUAAAUUUUCCC